rnacentral:rRNA from 1 species
AGAGUUUGAUCAUGGCUCAGAACGAACGCUGGCGGCGUGCUUAACACAUGCAAGUCGCGUGCGCAGUUCCCGUAGCAAUACGGGGAUGGGCGCACGGCGCACGGGUGCGUAACACGUGGGCAAUCUGCCCUCCGAUGGGGAAUAACCCCGCGAAAGCGGGGCUAAUUCCGCAUAACAUUCCGGGGACUUCGGUUCCUGGAUUCAAAGCAGUGAUGCGUCGGAGGAGGAGCCCGCGCCCGAUUAGCUAGUUGGUGAGGUAACGGCUCACCAAGGCAAUGAUCGGUAGCUGGUCUGAGAGGAUGGCCAGCCACACUGGAACUGAGACACGGUCCAGACUCCUACGGGAGGCAGCAGUGGGGAAUCUUGCGCAAUGGGCGAAAGCCUGACGCAGCGACGCCGCGUGGGGGAUGAAGCUUCUCGGAGUGUAAACCCCUUUCGACUGGGACGAAUGCCCGCAAGGGAGUGACGGUACCAGUAGAAGAAGCCCCGGCUAACUACGUGCCAGCAGCCGCGGUAAGACGUAGGGGGCCAGCGUUGUUCGGAAUUACUGGGUGUAAAGGGUUCGUAGGCGGUGUGGCAAGUUGGGAGUGAAAUCUCUGGGCUUAACCCAGAGGCUGCUUCCAAAACUGCUGUGCUUGAGUGUGGGAGAGGCGCGUGGAAUUGCAGGUGUAGCGGUGAAAUGCGUAGAUAUCUGCAGGAACACCCGUGGCGAAAGCGGCGCGCUGGACCACAACUGACGCUGAGGAACGAAAGCUAGGGGAGCAAACAGGAUUAGAUACCCUGGUAGUCCUAGCCCUAAACGAUCAGGACUUGGGGUGCCGCCCGUUCGGGCGUCGUCCCGGAGCUAACGCGUUAAGUCCUGCACCUGGGGGAGUACGGUCGCAAGACUGAAACUCAAAGGAAUUGACGGGGGCCCGCACAAGCGGUGGAACAUGUGGUUCAAUUCGACGCUACGCGAGGAACCUUACCUGGGCCUCGAAA